rnacentral:rRNA from 1 species
GAUGAACGCUGGCGGCGUGCCUAAUACAUGCAAGUCGAGCGAACAGACGAGGAGCUUGCUCCUCUGACGUUAGCGGCAGACGGGUGAGUAACACGUGGAUAACCUACCUAUAAGACUGGGAUAACUUCGGGACACCGGAGCUAAUACCGGAUAAUAUAUUGAACCGCAUGGUUCAAUAGUGAAAGACGGUUUUGCUGUCACUUAUAGAUGGAUCCGCGCCGCAUUAGCUAGUUGGUAAGGUAACGGCUUACCAAGGCAACGAUGAGUAGCCGAUCUGAGAGGGUGAUCGGCCACACUGGAACUGAGACACGGUCCAGACUCCUACGGGAGGCAGCAGUAGGGAAUCUUCCGCAAUGGGCGAAAGCCUGACGGAGCAACGCCGCGUGAGUGAUGAAGGUCUUCGGAUCGUAAAACUCUGUUAUUAGGGAAGAACAAAUGUGUAAGUAACUAUGCACGUCUUGACGGUACCUAAUCAGAAAGCCACGGCUAACUACGUG